rnacentral:rRNA from 1 species
CCGGCGCACGGGUGAGUAACGCGUAUGCAACUUGCCUAUCAGGAGGGGAGAACCGGCGAAAGUCGGACUAAUACCGCAUGAAGCAGGGGCCCCGCACGGGGAUAUUUGCUAAAGAUUCAUCGCUGAUAGAUAGGCAUGCGUUCCAUUAGGCAGUUGGCGGGGUAACGGCCCACCAAACCGACGAUGGAUAGGGGUUCUGAGAGGAAGGUCCCCCACAUUGGUACUGAGACACGGACCAA